rnacentral:lncRNA from 1 species
GGUAGUAAUCAUCUUCAUUUCUGAAACUUGAUGCACCUCUAUUUCACAUGUGUAAAUCCUUAAGAACUUGGUGAUAUUCCUCCCAUCAAACCUCCCAAAUUUGUCCACUACUACUUGUAAGGCUUUAGUAGUGUUCCUAUCCUCUCCAUGUACCUGUUGCCUUUCUUCCAUAAAUUGAGCAAAUGCCCUGAAUAAAACAUGGGCACCCACUCCUCCUAAUAAUUCAAACCCUUAAUUUUGAUCCUCCAUUUCAACUUGUUGAAAAAAUUAGUGCCUUAAGGCUCUCUGAGUGGAAGUACCAAUAUGUCGGGGUAGAGAGAAUUUGCCUCAAGAAAAUGUUAGGCUUCUGGCUCUCACUAAUCAUUCAAUCAAGCUUCAAAAUAAGAGAAGCCCUAAGUUUAUAUAUAAAUUUUUUCUUUUGAGCAAUUACACCAAAUACACAAGCCUUAAGGUACCAACAACACCCAAAAUAUGAUAAAAUCCUCUAAAGCCUUGUAUAUCCUUAUGUGGAAAUUUUUUUGAACUUCAAAACCUUAUGUCUCCUAAUCCGACCGUCCAAACAAACUCAAAUUUUACAUGAAGUACUGAUGUAUUCUUAUUAACUUCUACAAUAAAUUUCAACCACAAAUUCAUUGCGAAUCUUGAGAUAUCUUAAAAACCCUAAUAGUCACUUCAAACCCUUAUCUUUAUACACCUACGUGUAAUUUUCUUCAUAUUUCACAAAAUAUAAGCUUAAAUGCCAUAAAAUUUAUAUGUAUAGCUUCUUAAAACAAAAUUUUAUAUUUUCCAAAAAAAUUUAAGCCAAAAAUUUGUCUGAAAAUUUAAGUUAUGGCUCCAACUAUUACUAUAAAUAAAACCGCUCACUUACUACCUUUGAUUUGGAAGCGCCCCCUUCAACUUUUUAUAACUCCUUCACAUGAAUUUCAAAAGCAAUAUUUUUUUAUAAAAUAUGUAGGUGUUAAAAUCACCAUUUUAGAAGCAUCUUUCGAUCUUCAAAAGCUACCGUACAACUCCUCGUAUCCUCAAAAGAGUAACAAUAUGUCUUAAAUUAAUACCUUAUCUUUGAACACUUAUAUCUCUUUCACAAAAACUUGAAAUCAAACAAACUCUCUAUCCAAAUUAUAUCCAAAAUCCUGAACUUACUGAUUAUAGCUUCUAAAGCUCAAAUGACUUCGAAAGAAAAACCCUAAUCCCUAAUAAGGCCUCGGGCAGCCUCCUUGAAGCCCAUUGGACAUGGCCUUCGAUCAAUAGGAAUAAAGUUUCCCAUUCCUUGCCUUCAUCCAACCAUGUCUUGCAUUCAUCCCUCCCAAUAAGCCUCCAAUAGUUAAGAUUUUCUUCUUUAGGCUCUAAUCUCUUAUCAAGGCUUUAUACUAAACAUUUAGGUCUUGCAAUUCUUUUAAAUGUUAUAAUCAAAAAAGAUAAAAUUCAAAAUAAAGUUUCUUAAAUCCACUCUCUUUAAAUUAAUCUAUCAACCAU